GACAGAGGGUGCAAACGUUGUUCGGAAUUACUGGGCGUAAAGCGCGUGUAGGCGGCUAAGUAAGUCGGGCGUGAAAUCCCACGGCUCAACCGUGGAAGUGCACUCGAAACUGCAUAGCUAGAGUCCUGGAGAGGAAGGUGGAACGCUUGGUGUAGAGGUGAAAUUCGUAGAUAUCAAGCGGAACACCGGUGGCGAAGGCGGCCUUCUGGACAGUGACUGACGCUGAGACGCGAAAGCGUGGGGAGCAAACAGG
rnacentral:rRNA from 1 species